rnacentral:tRNA from 1 species
AAGGGAGACCUAAUUCCGGUAGGAGACGAAAAAAAAGUAGUCCCAACCAAGAAUCAAUCCCAAAAGGUCGGAACGAGGUAUGAGGCUUUCAAACUAGGUUCUGGGUUCACAAAAGACCUGAAUCAGGAACAAGGGCUAUUAGCUCAGGUGGUUAGAGCGCACCCCUGAUAAGGGUGAGGUCCCUGGUUCGAGUCCAGGAUGGCCCACCUGCACAGGUGGCAAAAACAAGAGAAGCUCCGAAUCAGCACCUUAUCUUAUAUACAUAUACAAGAGAGAAUGCUGGCUCUGAGUACAGAGUCCAGAGGAACCUUGAAAACUGCAUAGAGCUAGGUGAAAAAGCCAAAAAAGAAGACCGCAA